rnacentral:rRNA from 1 species
AUGUGGGCGAUUUGGACAGCAAGGAGAAAAGCGAUUUAUGAAGAUAUAUAUCAAUCACCGCAUGCCAUAAAUGGUUUCAUCACGAGCUAUCUGGCCGAAGUUAGUGCAAUCAAUGCAAAACUGCCAAAAGCGAGUCCUGCGGCCAUCCCAAGACUGAACCAGUGGCAAACACCGGUAGCGGGAUGUGUUAAGGUUAAUGUUGAUGCUGCGGUGUCGAGACGAGCUAAGUGUGGUGCUGUUGGGGCAGUAUGCCGUAGUGCGGAUGGGACAUUCUUGGGAGCUUCUGUAAUGGUCCUCAAUUUUAUUGCAGAACCACAGACUUUGGAGGCGAUUGCAAUCAGAGAAGCACUAGAUCUCUCAGAUGAUCUCUAUGAAAGGAGGAUACAUGUGGCCUCGGACUGCAAGGUAGUGGUGGAAGAUUUGAAGAAGGGGACGUCAUCCGUUUAUGGAGCGAUUAUACAGGAGAUAAUACGACACUCCUUGGAUUUUGAUUUUUGUAAUUUUAGCCAUGAAUUUAGGAGCUCGAACUUCGAAGCUCACAACUUAGCUAAGUAUGCUUUAUCUCUCCAGGGUGGCCGCCAUGUUUGGUUAGAACUGCCUGGAGACCUUACUUUCGUCCCUGUAAACAUUAUGACGGAUUAA